UACGUAGGGUGCGAGCGUUGUCCGGAAUUAUUGGGCGUAAAGGGCUCGUAGGCGGUCUGUCGCGUCGGGAGUGAAAACUCAGGGCUUAACCCUGAGCCUGCUUCCGAUACGGGCAGACUAGAGGUAUGCAGGGGAGAACGGAAUUCCUGGUGUAGCGGUGAAAUGCGCAGAUAUCAGGAGGAACACCAGUGGCGAAGGCGGUUCUCUGGGCAUUACCUGACGCUGAGGAACGAAAGCUAGGGGAGCGAACGGG
rnacentral:rRNA from 1 species